rnacentral:rRNA from 1 species
AGAUUGAACGCUGGCGGCAGGCCUAACACAUGCAAGUCGAGCGGCAGCACGGGUACUUGUACCUGGUGGCGAGCGGCGGACGGGUGAGUAAUGCCUAGGAAUCUGCCUGGUAGUGGGGGAUAACGCUCGGAAACGGACGCUAAUACCGCAUACGUCCUACGGGAGAAAGCAGGGGACCUUCGGGCCUUGCGCUAUCAGAUGAGCCUAGGUCGAUUAGCUAGUUGGUGAGGUAAUGGCUCACCAAGGCGACGAUCCGUAACUGGUCUGAGAGGAUGAUCAGUCACACUGGAACUGAG